AGUUCGGUUAUGUGUGGUUUGAAAGACCGUAAUAUUUAUGAAAAUCGGAGCAAAAUUUCUGGUGGAAAAAUUGUUUAGAGAAAAAAAUAAAUAGACAUAAUUGUAAAACCGAUACAUUGCUCGCCCCGCUCAGAAUCUAAAAGAGUCUCGAUACACGCAUAUUCCGGAAUAGAUAAUAUUCUAACACUUGCGUCCGCGUCUUUUUAAACAGUUUUAUUAUUAGCGAAACUCGUUUGACAAAUAUUAUUAUAGGUCAGUGCACUCGAAUAUGUAUUUAACGCUGCGAGAAUCGGUAACCUUA